GAUUCCUUAUAAAAAGGAAGAUAUUUCAAGCAUAAUGUUCAAUUUUCUGUAAUAACAGUCUGUCCUCUUGGAAUUAAUUGCACUAUCUGAACAGGUCGAGACAGUUCAAUGAAUGUGCUGCAACAACUGUUGGGCAUUCCAAUGUUUGUAUGUAGGCGUUGGAUUCUUGCCAUUCCUGUAGACAACUGAGGUUUCGCGGGCGGCCAAAAGACAUACUUCUCUAACGAAAGGACCACCUGUGUUUCUUUGGCACCUACAGUAAAUAGAUAAAUGUUUUUUUGGUGGUUGGCAAACCAGCUUUGGUGCAUUACCUCCACCAACUGGAUAGGAAUGUGGAGCACGGAAAAUGGAAACAAGUGGCACCAAAGGAAGGCCUCCCUGCGUUGUUCAGGGGGUCGCGCUGCUUGGUCCAUUGAGCCGCGCCGAUAACAGGUCUGCCUGCCCACCCGCCCUGCACUACCCAGUGAUUCGCACAUGUCAGUUGGACCACGCUGCCCUAUUCAGUGGCUACCUAGUGGGUUGCGCAGAUUUGUCUUGAUUUGACUGGGUGAUGAGCUGAGAUUGCUUUGAGAUUGUUCAGCAAACUUGUAUGCGUACUGCUACAUUCUUUUUUGAGCUACUCAGCCUUUUUGACCUCCUCGUUUACAACAAAGCUCUUGUCAACUGGUAUCUGGACAUAGGACAACAAAACAAGUCUUCUACAAGAAUUCCUUAGUUUGGGGCAUGACUGAGCAACUGAAUGACUGACUGACUGAGGAAUCUAUACAAAAUAACAUGAAAUCUUGUUAGCAUUAGCUGAAAACAGGAAUUCUGCUUUGGCCUCCCGAAGAAAGGAAGUGUUCAAGCUUCUGCAAAAAGAUUCUGUCGCCUGUAAAGUGACAUUUUGUAUGGAAUAAAAACAUUUCAGUUCCAGCAGAGACACUUGCUGACAACUGACCAGAAACAACGAGCUACUGAAAUUACAGAGCCCCUGAAGGGACCUUUACAUAAGCAUACAUACUAAAAAUAAAUCUUGUGAGAAUCUUGUGUCUGCACAUGAUCAUUUUCCAUGAUAGAUUUUUUUCUGAAAGAAAAGGUCAUGAUGCAAUGUUUUAGGUAAUUAUAACAUGCUCAACACUUACUGUCACUUUCAGAAAAAUAUGUAUGUUUUUUGUUGUGGUUGCUUGUUUUUUUUUGUUUUUUGUUUUUUUUUGCAGCGAAGGUCCUUUCAGGGGCUCCAUAAUGCAUACAUAUGAUAAUAAAAAAUUAUACAAGCAUAUUGGCAUACAAGAAAACAGUAAACUCAGCUAUAUACCUACUAAGAGCUACCAACAUAAUCAAAUCACUGCAUGAUUAUAUUUUUACUUUGUUUUCUCUGUCAUGCUUUUUAUUUGUCAUUAUUUUAUCUGUAACUGUAAUAUUUUUAGUGGCCUUCUAACUAACCCUAGUCUCUUAGUACAUUUUUUCACCUACAUAGUUUUUGCUAUAUUGUUUUGCUUUUUUUUCAGUAACUUUGUUUCCAGUAAUAGUAUUAUUUGUGUCAAGUUUUUCUUUGUGUUUGAUGUGCUUCAUUAGGUGUGUGAUGACAAUUGCUAGUAAUUGUUCACAAAUAUUUGCAUAACAAUGAAUCAUCAGCCAAAAUUCUAUAAGAAAUAAAACAUUUGGACAUGCUGUUUGCAGAACUCCUCUGCAGAAUUUCCUCUUCUCUUUGUA